rnacentral:misc_RNA from 1 species
GAUGAAGAACGUAGCGAAAUGCGAUAAGUAGUGUGAAUUGCAGAAUUCAGUGAAUCAUCGAAUCUUUGAACGCACAUUGCGCCCCUCGGUAUUCCGUGGGGCAUGCCUGUUCGAGCGUCAUUUAACCCCUCAAGCCUAGCUUGGUAUUGGGUGCUUGUCCCGCCUCUCGCGCGGCGACUCACCUCAAAGUCAUUGGCAGCCCGCAUCUCGCCGGCCGUGAGCGCAGCACAGACGCGCUCUUGGCAACGACGGAUCGGCUCUCCAAAAGCUUAUUUCAACCACUGACCUCGGAUCAGGUAGGGAUACCCGCUGAACUUAAGCAUAUUCAAUAAGCGGAGGA